GCGAAACUCACAAAUAAACUACUAGAGGACCAAAUGAAAGAAUUGGCUGCCUGGUUCUGUAAACUACAACCUCUGAACAUUACAUACCAACAACAAUGACAAAAGAGAUAAAUAUAGAAUGAAAAAGGAAAAAGGAAAAAGAAAAAAUCACUCUUCAGGCAGCAGCACAAUUGAAUGACAAUAACUAUGACUAUGUUCAUCAAUGGCAAAUAUCAAAAUGCCAACAGAUUUCGGGGCCCGACCAAGAUACACAAGUAGAACCGUAGUUUCUUUUAAAGGAAAGUCGAAAACAAAAUAGAUGAGGAAAUCUAGAUUUGAACCUUAG
rnacentral:misc_RNA from 1 species